rnacentral:rRNA from 1 species
GGGUCAGUAGGUUGGUCGUGCCACCGUUACGUAGUGGUCUCACUGAUUCCUCCUUCCUGAAGAACCGUAAUGCCAUUAAUUUGGUGUUGCGGGGAAACAGGACUGUUACUUUGAAAAAAUUAGAGUGUUUAAAGCAGGCUAACGCUUGAAUACAUUAGCAUGGAAUAAUGAAAUAGGACGAUCGAUCCUAUUUUGUUGGUUUCUAGGAUUGACGUA